ensembl:lncRNA
GUUAGUACUUGAUGUUCAUUGGUGUGUGUGUGUGUACAUGUUUAUGUGUGUUGAAUGUGUACUGCUUGUAGGUUAUCUUGAUAGAGGGGUAGGUAGUGUUAGUACUUGAUGUUCAUUGGUGUGUGUGUGUACAUGUUUAUGUGUGUUGAAUGUGUACUGCUUGUAGGUUAUCUUGAUAGAGGGGUAGGUAGUGUUAGUACUUGAUGUUCAUUGGUGUGUGUGUGUACAUGUUUAUGUGUGUUGAAUGCAUACUGCUUGUAGGUUAUCUUGAUAGAGGGGUAGUUAAUGUUAGUACUUGAUGUUCAUUGGUGUGUGUGUGUACAUGUUUAUGAAUGCAUACUGCUUGUAGGUUAUCUUGAUA